CAGACGCCCAGCGCGCCUCCCUCCCACGCGCCGAGACAACACGGGCUCCCUCUUCUACCUCUGGCGGCGGCUCUCUAGCGAUUGAGUCGCCACCAGCAACAGCAGCAGCACACGUCAGGGAUGAAUGCAGCGACGUGGUGCCGGUGGGAUUUGAGGAUAGAAAAUGCUUGAGUAUCCUCGCACGGCCAGACGAAGCAAUGAUAUGUAUGGUGAGUGAGCGGUGAGUACAAGUAUAUAAAAUUGCUAACCACGGAGUGCUUGACCAGUGCGAGGCAUGACGGAAGGAUGAAGGCCACUGUGUGAUGGAUCUGACUUCCAUAAUAGUUCGUUUCAUUCGCUUAGCCUCCACGAAUCAGUGAUGAUUGAACGCAGUGGAAAAAAAAUCAUGACUACUUGUGUAAUUAUGAAAGUCGGUGCAUCAUGGCCUUCCCUGCCUUUCAGUGAUGCUUUGUGGAAAGAAACUUAACCAAAUUUAUAACU